rnacentral:rRNA from 1 species
GAUGCCUUGGCUCUCGGAGGCGACGAAGGACGUGAUAAGCUGCGAAAAGCCCGGGGGAGGCGCAAAUAGCCCUUGAUCCCGGGAUAUCCGAAUGGGGCAACCCGGCAGGCUGAAGGCCUGUCAUCCCGAAAGGGAGGCGAACGUGGGGAACUGAAACAUCUAAGUACCCAUAGGAGGAGAAAAUAAACAAUGAUUCCGUAAGUAGUGGCGAGCGAACGCGGAAGAGCCCAAACCCAUGUCGUCUAGGCGACACGGGGGUUGUAGGACCACGACGUGGCAAGAAGGAAGGGAAAUGGAACGCCUUGGAAAAGUCGGCCAUAGACGGUGAAAGCCCGGUACAUGACUCCCUUACGAAGCCUAGUGGUAUCCUGAGUAGCGCGGGGCACGAGAAAUCUUGCGUGAAUUAGCGGGGCCCAUCCCGUAAGGCUAAAUACGCCCGAGAGACCGAUAGCGAACCAGUACCGUGAGGGAAAGGUGAAAAGAACCCCUGUUAGGGGAGUGAAAUAGAAUCUGAAACCUGUUGCCUACAAGCUGCGAGAGCUACUUCGGUAGUGAUCGCGUGCCUUUUGUAUAAUGAGUCAGCGAGUUACUCUACCGUGCGAGGUUAAGCGAAAGCGUAGCCGUAGUGAAAGCGAGGCUUAAUAGGCCGACUAGUACGUUGGAGUAGACCCGAAACCGGGUGAUCUAUCCAUGAGCAGGUUGAAGCAAGGGUAAAGCCUUGUGGAGGACCGAACCGUCAACGGCUGAAAACGUUCCGGAUGACUUGUGGAUAGGGGUGAAAGGUCAAUCAAACCCGGUGAUAGCUGGUUCUCCCCGAAAUAUAUUGAGGUAUAGCCUCGGGAAUUGAUUAGCGGAGGUAAAGCACUGACAGAGCUAGGGGUCCUACCAGAUUACCAAACUCUAUCAAACUCAGAAUGCCGCUUAAUUGUAUCCCGGGAGUCAGACGGCGGGUGCGAAGGUUCGUCGUCAAAAGGGAAACAGCCCAGACCAACAGCUAAGGUCUCCAAAUCCAUGCUCAGUGGUGAAGGUAGUGGAACCGUUUAGACAGCCAGGACGUUGGCUUAGAAGCAGCCAUCCUUUAAAGAAAGCGUAAUAGCUCACUGGUCUAAUGGCUCUGCGCCGAAAAUGUAACGGGGCUAAGCAUGGUACCGAAGCUUUGGCAAUCUCCUUUGGGGAUUGGGUAGGGGAGCGUUCGCUGCGGGCUGAAGGUGUGCCGGAAGGCAUGCUGGACUGCAGUGAAGUGAUUAUGCUGACAUGAGUAACGAUAAAAUAUGUGAAAAACAUAUUCGCCGAAAACCCGAGGUUUCCUGGGUAAAGGUAAUCUUCCCAGGGUUAGUCGGAUCCUAAGGUGAGGGUGAAAGCCGUAACCGAUGGAAAACAGGUUAAUAUUCCUGUACUUGUUGUGUAGCGCGAUGGAGGGACGCAGGAAGAUAGGCGGGCCGGGUGUUGGAUAUCCCGGUGCAAGCGUGUAGGAAUAUCCGGUAGGCAAAUCCGCCGGACGAAUCUGAGACGCGAGUCCGUGGGCGCAAGCCCUGAAGCCGUUGAGUCUAUGCUGCCUAGAAAAGCUCCUAAGUUUAUCCACAGCAAUCCGUACCGCAAACCAACUCAGGUGGGUGGGAUGAACAAUCCAAGGCGCUCGAGAGAACUCUGGCCAAGGAACUCGGCAAAAUAACCCCGUAACUUCGGAAGAAGGGGUGCUCUCUAGGGUGACAUGUUUAACAUAUGAAGCCCCGGGGAGCCGCAGUGAAUUGGUGGUGGCGACUGUUUACUAAAAACAUAGGUCUGUGCGAAGUCCUAAAGACGACGUAUACGGACUGACGCCUGCCCGGUGCUGGAAGGUUAAAAGGAGGGGUCAGCGCAAGCAAAGCUCCGAAUUGAAGCCCCAGUAAACGGCGGCCGUAACUAUAACGGUCCUAAGGUAGCGAAAUUCCUUGUCGGGUAAGUUCCGACCUGCACGAAUGGCGUAACGAUCUCCACACUGUCUCGGCCAGAGACUCGGUGAAAUUGCAGUCGCGGUGAAAAUUCCGUGUACCCGCAGAAAGACGGAAAGACCCUGUGCACC